CCAAGCACACAGAAGGCAGCGUGUGUUAGAUAAAUAUAAAAUGCCACAUUCUAUCUUUGUGGCUGAGCUCAGUUACUUCCUUGCUACGGGGGCCAAAUUUGUCCCGUAAGGUGGAAAUACUGAGACUAGCCACAUCCUUACUAAAUGGGUCCGGGCAGAUUGGUCUUUUUUGACAAUAAGGGAUGACGGAAGCGUGGUGUGUUCCAAGCCUGGUGUUACAUACCAGGGACUCAGCGAUGAGUAAUCCAGUGUCUCUUCCCCCGAGGAGCUCAGGGUGAGAGGGUGGUGGGUGGGAUGUGCAGAAAGAACUAAAAAAUCAACGAUCACUGUCCACUGUGACCUGCCACGCCAUCCUGAAAGACCCCUCCCCUAGAAGAUAAAUAGGAUAACUAACCUCUUGUUUGCUUUUCUGUGAACCGCUGGCUUUUAGCGUAAAUUAGGUUAUUAAUUGCUUAUUAAUUGCUCUUUUGCCCUUCUGUAACUGCUUGGCUUAUAGAAAUAAUAGAAGACGCCAUGAUGGCAUUCCUACCUUCCCCCUUCUUGUUCCCCCUCCCUGCCUCUCUCCUCCCAGGCGCGGGCCCUCAGAACCAAUCAGCUUGUUCCCCCUUCCCACCUCUCUCUUCACGCGCGCGGGUCCCCAAAGCCAAUCAGCAAACUCCACGUAUGCCUUUUUCAAAAGUUCUAACUGUCAACCAAUCAGUUGCGCCCCACCCAAAACUUGUUUGUACCUUCCUAUAAAAGACCCUGCUUCUCUCCGGUCUGUGUGCUUGGUUAGCUGGAGCUGCCGAACACCCGCCGGUACCUGCGUGACAAUAAACCUCUUGCUGUUUGCAUCCAGUGGCAGUGUUGGAUUCUUGGUAAUCUCUACACCCAGCUUGGGGCUCGAACUUAACAACCCCGAGAUCAAGAGUUGCACACUCCACCGACUGAGCCAGCCGGACAGCCCAACACCUGUGCUUUUCAUCUUCACAAUGGACUCAGGAUUCAGAAAGGAGGCUGAGGUCGCUGGAGAGUCAUCUUAGAGGCUGCUUAAAAGGGCCAGGAGCUAUAAGGAAGAGAGAAUGCCCAAGUUCCGUGCCACAACCUCAGAAAAGUUCCGUGCUUUUGCCUCAGAAGCAGCCCAAAUAUGGACACCAGGAGGUGGAGAAGAUUGGCCGUCACUCCAGAGUUUGUCCACACAGCAUCUUUCUCAAUCUAAAAGAAACAAAUAAAUAAGACAUGAAAUAAAAAAAAAAAAAUCAAGUAUCUGCUCCCUUAGGGAACCCUUCUUAGGCUCUGCUUUCCUCCUCUAGGCAGAUGGCUUAGCUCUCUUUCUGGGGACACUUAUACUUGUCAUAACCCCUGUAGGUUUGUGGAGAUAGAACAAGUGUCUCCCUGUGUUACAGGUCUGUUGUGAUGUGUCUCCGCCAUCAGAUUGUAACUCCCAGAUGGUGAGCCCCGUGCCAGGCACAGGACAUAGUCGUGAGUCAAAGACAGACAAGGUCUCAUGCCACGUGAAAUAUCACUCUGAUGGGAAGGGAAGUCAUUAAUGUAAUAAUGACAUAAAAAUGGACUAUUUAAAAUUGAGAUGAGUGCCAUGAACCCCAAGUUUAGGGGCAAUAAAACAGAAUGCUCUAAUCUUACAACACUUAAUAAAUGCUUAUUAAGUACAGAAAUAAAAAAAAAAGGGAAAAAAAAAAAAAAAAAAAAAAAAAAACCAAACAAGUCUUCUAGUCUUCUUGAUUAUAAAGGAAUGAAACAAAGACAGAAUAAUUUAAAAAAUAUCUUUGUUUAGUUUUCUUGAUUGGAAUAUAUGUUCUUUGAACAUGGAAGUUGUUGCC
ensembl:lincRNA